CAGGGCCACACCCACAGCAUAUGGAAGUUCCCAGGCUAGGGGUCGAAUCAGAGCUACAGCUGCCAGCCUCCGCCACAGCCACGGCAACACAGGAUCAGAGCAGCAUCUGCAACCUACACUACAACUCACGGCAACGCCGGAUCCUUAACCACCAAGUGAGGCAAGGGAUCAAACCCACUUCCUCAUGGAUCCUAGUUGGGUUCGUUAACCACUGAGCCACCAAGGGAACUCCCACAUAUAUCUUUCUUAAUGAAAGUUUUCUUCUGAUACAUGCCCAUAUGGAUCAUAUGGUAGUCCUUCAUUUAGUUUUCUGAGGAACCUCCACACUAUUUUCCUGCAGUCAUUCUUGAUUCUUCCCCUUUCAGUGACCCAUAUCAAAUUUAUCAGAUAUACCUUCCAAAUAUAUCCCAAACCCACCCACCUUUCUAUGCUCCACUGACACCCCCAAAGCCCGCUAGCAUCCUUUCUAACUAGGCAUCCUAUUACUACUCUUGCUCAAUUUUCUAUACAACAAUCAAAAUGAUCACCUUAAAUACACAUCAGAUGAUGUCACUUCCCUUUUCAAAACUCUGCAGUGAGUUCUAUGUGUUCCUAAUGCAAAUAAAAUAAAUCUCCACAAUCCUUAUCAGGACCUUCAAAACCCACGUUGAGCUGGCCCCUGCCUACCUCUUUAGCGUCUGCUCCUAUUGCUCCUACAAUGACCAGUUCCUGUCCCUGGCAAAAUGCCAGGCCCAGGGUCUUUGCCCUUCCUGUUGACUCUGGACCAGAUGUACUGCUCCUAGAUACUUGCAUGGAUGGACCCUUUUGGUUUUUUGUUUGUUUGGUUGGUUUUGGUUUUUGCCUUUUCUAGGGCCACUCCCACGACAUAUGGAGGUCCCCAGGCUAGGGGUCUAAUCAGAGCUGUAGCCGCCGGCCUACGCCACAGCCACAGCAACGCGGGAUCCAAGCUGAGUCUGCGACCUACACCACAGCUCACUGCAACGCCGGAUCCCCAACCCACUGAGCAAGGCCAUGGAUCGAACCUGCAACCCCAUGGUUCCUAGUUGGAUUCGUUAACCACUGCCCCACGACGGGAACUCUGGAUGAAUCUUUUUGUAUCAUUGAGGCCUCAGCUCAACUGUUGUCUCUUCCUGGUGAAGCCAUCCCAGAUCUGCCCAUCUUGUCUUAGCCCCACAGUCACUUUCCGUCAUCACCCUGUACCUUCUCCUUGUCAGAAAUUACUUUGUUUCAUGAUGUGCUUCCUUGUAUGUUACCUGUUUUUCCUCUUUCAGAAUAUGAGCUCCAUGAGAUGAGGGGACUUUACCCUCAAGUCCAUUGCUCUAUCUCGUGGCUGAACAGUGUCUGGCAAUACAGACAAACCAUAAGCAUUUGUCGAAUGACUAAGUCAGAUUUAGUGUGAGGUGAACACAUACUGUUCAUGGUUUAUGGAGACAUACUAUUUAAAUCACACAAGGGCCUUUAAGAGUUUCCUUCUGGAAAGUGUAUAAAACACCAAAAUUGCCAACAAAAACUUAGAAAUAGGGCCAGCUCUAAAGAUUGGUCAGAGCUUGCAUGCUUUACCCAGGAUGUCACAGGUGCUAAGUACACUUCAUAGAGUGAAUAAAUCAGACUUUGGAGUUCCCACCAUGGCGCAGCGGAAGCAAAUCCAACUAGGAACCAUGAGGUUUCAGGUUCGAUCCCUGGCCUUACUCAGCGGGUUAAGGAUCCGGUGUUGUCAUGAACUGUGGUGUAGGUUACAAACGCAGCUUGGAUCUGUCGUUGCUAUGGCUGUGGUGUAGGCCGGCAACUGUAGCUCCAAUUUGCCCCCUAGCCUGGAAAACUCCAUAUACUGUGGUGUGGCCCUAAAAGGUGGGAAAAAACAAAACAAAACAAAAAAAAGCUACAGACUUUCUAGUAGCCCUUUUAAGCUAAUGGUUUCAAACUCUUUACUAAAUGUAUAACUAAAGCUAAUGUCAGGUAGGAAGAUGGCUUUAAACGUCCCCUCUCUCCUGUUCCACACCCACUGUUUAAAAAAUACUGAGUGUAUAAUACGUAUGUAGGAAAUAAUUGAGUGAAUAAAUGCACAAAUGAAUGAAACAGCCACUGGUUCAGUAAUAAAAAUAAAGAAGACAGGUAAGAACAUAGGCUAAUCCAAGUUGGAUAGACAACUUGUAAAAACUCAGCAACUAAGAAGUAGUUUGAUAGCAAAAAAACAAGUGUGCUGGUAACUGACAGCUAGAAUUGGGGGUCUAAGAACUGGCUUUAAGAGAAAAAGGUCAAGAAGCUAAGACGAAUCAUGCAGGAAAACACUUACAGGAAGGAAAAGAAGAGAAAUUUAAAUUAGAUUCGUCAUUGCAACUUGAAAAAGAAGUGAGACUACAGGAAACUAUUUUAAAUACCAAGAAAAUGUUCCUAUAGCCAAAUGAAUCAAUAAUAAUAUAUAAAAAAAGCCCUAAGCUGUUGAAAUGUGAUGCUUUGGUAAAAAUGAAUCAACCAACCAAGAAACAUAAAUAAACAAAUAAAUGUGUGCCAUUUAAAAAUCACUUUUUCUUGCUCUCUAAUCGCCUGGAAGGAUGAGAGAGAGAGAGAGACAGAGACAGAGACAGAGAGGGAGAAGAGAAGGAGGAGGAGGAGAAGGAAGAGGAGACAAAGAGGAGGGAGGGGAAAGAAGAGGAGGGGAGGAGGGGAGGAGGGGAGGGCAGAAGGAAGUAUGAAUGAAUUCCCAGGUAAUAGAAGCCAUUCGGUAAUAUAUUGUUCAGAAGCAUCACUAUGGAGCUUAAAUAGAUUUCAUGAAUUCUUGCAAUUACCUAUAAGGACUUCAUAAUCAGCACUGUUUUCCCUUUAUCCCUUGAAAGCAUCUAGCUGUAUAAAAAUAAUAACAUCUUGCAGCUAGAAAAGACUUCUUAGUCUAAACCUUUCUAUCUAUAAUACACCUUCAGGGAAAAAGAGGAAUUCUGAUACUUUGCAAAUGCUUGAAAUCCCCUAGAAUAUUCAGAUGGUAUAUUUAGGAUUUUAAAUUUGGAAACGAUUCUUAGGUUUUACUUUUUCACUCUCCUAAGCUUAUUCCACCCACAGUUAUUGAUUCAAUACAUGAAUUGAUUUUACGUGGUGAGGAAAAAAAAUAGAAAACAUCUUUAAAAUCAAAGAAUAAUCUCAGUUAUCCAAUCCCUUUGAAGCCUAAUAUAUUUGGAAUCUCAAAAUGACU
rnacentral:lncRNA from 1 species